GAUGAACGCUGGCGGCGUGCCUAAUACAUGCAAGUCGAGCGAACAGACGAGGAGCUUGCUCCUCUGACGUUAGCGGCGGACGGGUGAGUAACACGUGGAUAACCUACCUAUAAGACUGGGAUAACUUCGGGAAACCGGAGCUAAUACCGGAUAAUAUAUUGAACCGCAUGGUUCAAUAGUGAAAGACGGUUUUGCUGUCACUUAUAGAUGGAUCCGCGCCGCAUUAGCUAGUUGGUAAGGUAACGGCUUACCAAGGCAACGAUGCGUAGCCGACCUGAGAGGGUGAGCGGCCACACUGGAACUGAGACACGGUCCAGACUCCUACGGGAGGCAGCAGUAGGGAAUCUUCCGCAAGGGGCGAAAGCCUGACGGAGCAACGCCGCGUGAGUGAUGAAGGUCUUCGGAUCGUAAAACGCUGUUAUUAGGGAAGAACAAAUGUGUAAGUAACUAGGCACGUCUUGACGGUACCUAAUCAGAAAGCCACGGCUAACUACG
rnacentral:rRNA from 1 species